AGCAAGUCCCAAAGGAAAGUGCCUCAAAUGUUGAAUGUACUUUUGAGUGUAAGACAAAUUCAGAAUAUAGACAAAUUCAGAAUAUAGCCCAUGGUGUAAACAGCUCAUCAUGUUCAUGUUUGGUUCCACGAUAUUCUCCUUCGCGUAAAAUUACGAGGAAAGUACUCGUUGAUAACGUGUUUUAUACAACUAUACUUAUGAAUCUAAUAUUUUAUAUGUUUUUUUUGAACAACAAACUACUUCAUUAAGAAUCAGGGCCUAAACCGGCAAGAACGAGUGUGAGUUACAAGCAGCAUCCUUAGCAAUAAGGUCCGCAACAGAAUUGAAACGACGAGGAAUAAAGGAAAAGUGCAGAAAAGAAAAACAUGAUGAUAGAUUCUUGAUAUCCAGAUUGAGUCUGUAGAUCUCCGUCGGAUGUAUCUUCGUGUGGAGUGCAUUGAUCAGCACUUGGUUAUCUGACUUCAAGCAGAUUUUAGUGAACUGUAGUGUCUUCGCAUGUAGUAGAGCCUCCCUUACUGCUAACGCCUCAGCCAUGAGGGGUGAUGCCACAAAUUGUUCAGUCGAGGCUAAUAUUAUGUAAAAAACGUAAAAUGAAAGUAUAUCUCCUCUCUAACCAGAAAAAAAAACGCAUGCUUUUUUCUUAUCUUGACAA
rnacentral:lncRNA from 1 species